UCUGGUUGAUCCUGCCAGUUGUCAUAUGCUUGUUUCAAGGACUAAGCCAUGCAAAUGUUAGAGUACUCGUGUCUUGAUACGAGGGGUCUGUGUACGGCUCAUUAAACGGUUUAUAGUCUCCCCAACAAAGAGGGCAGUCAUGCCUUCCUAUGGGAUAUCUUUGCGAAAGGCAAAGCUAAUACCUGUAAGAAAAAUCGCUUGCUAUCAAACACCUAGGGGCAACCCGAAAGUGUGGCGGGCGAUGUGAUUGGCCGAAACAAAAAUAGACGCUCGAACAGAGCAGCUGUAAUUGUUGACGCAGGCCAAAGUCGCGAAAGCACAAUUUUGUGCGACGUUGGACGAAUUUACCACCUAUCAGGUAUUGAAGGUAGUGUAGUGGACUACCUUGCCUCUGACGGGUAACGGGGGAUUGGGGUUCGAUUCCGGAGAGGGUGCCUGAGAGAUGGCAACCAUGACUAUGGUCAGCAGCAGGCGCGCAAAUUGCCCAAUGCCAACAAAUGGCGAGGCAGCGACGAAAAAUAGCAGUCCCCUAGGGGAUUUGCAAUGGACUGUACCCAAACAAACUGAUGAUUAUCUAUUGGAGGGCAAGUCUGGUGCCAGCAGCCGCGGUAAUUCCAGCUCCAAGAGCGUAUAUAAAUGUUGUUGCGGUUAAAAAGCCCGUAUUUGGAUUUGAGGAUGCUUCUUGUAUUCGGACUGCGUGAAGGGGUUUCCUGGAACGUAGGACGAGUACGUUACGGAGGUAUCCUGACAUAUGCGGGAUUGUCCACUGGCCGAAGCUUCCUUAACUGGUAGCUGAAGCAACUUCGGAGCUUCUACACUCCAAAAGGUGCGCCCGCAGACGUCACUGUGAGUAAAACAGAGUGUUCAAGGCAACCAAUUUGUUUGGUUGAAUGUUAAAGCAUGGAAUGACAAGGUAUCGACCACCGAAGCCGCUUUUUGUCUAUUACUUUAAGCCUCAGUGAGGAAACAUUGAGGGGGUGUCCUGGUGUCCGUUCGCGGGUGUCAGGCGCCCUUUUCGCCGGGAUCAAUAGGAGCACAGGGGGUCAUGAGUACUGGGGGGCUAGAGGUGAAAUUCCAAGACCCCCCCAAGACUGACAUCGGCGAAAGCACUCGACUAUUGUGCUUUCAUUAAUCAAGGACGAGAGAUAGGGGAUCGAAGAGGAUUAGACACCCUCGUAGUCCUUUCUGUAAAUUCUGCGGACUUGGGAUCGGUCAGUGUUCUACUUUUUGACCUGAUCGGCACCUUCCUCCGACAUCGAGAAAUCAAAGUCUUUGUGUUCCGGGGGGAGUACAUUCGCAAGGCUGAAACUUAAAGGAAUUGACGGAGAACCACCACCAGUCGUGGAGUGUGUGGCUUAAUUCGACCCAACACGGGAAAUUUUACCAGGCCAGGACGUGGCGAGGAUUGCCAGAUUGAAAGCUCUUGCAUGAUUCCGCGGAGGGUAGUGCAUGGCCGCUUCUGGUUGGUGAAGUGAUUUGUCUGCUUAAUUGCGAUAACGAACGAGAUCUCUGCCAAUUACUAGACAGUGCGUUCAC
rnacentral:rRNA from 1 species